GAUGAGCCCGCGUCCCAUCAGCUAGUUGGUGAGGUAACGGCUCACCAAGGCUUAGGCGGGUAGCUGGUCUGAGAGGAUGAUCAGCCACACUGGGACUGCGACACGGCCCAGACUCCUACGGGAGGCAGCAGUGGGGAAUAUUGGGCAAUGGGCGAAAGCCUGACCCAGCCACGCCGCGUGAGGGAUGACGGCCUUCGGGUUGUAAACCUCUUUCAGCAGGGACGAAGCGCAAGUGACGGUACCUGCAGAAGAAGCACCGGCUAACUACGUGCCAGCAGCCGCGGUAAUACGUAGGGUGCAAGCGUUGUCCGGAAUUACUGGGCGUAAAGAGUUCGUAGGCGGUUUGUCGCGUCGUUUGUGAAAACCCAGCAGCUCAACUGCUGGCUUGCAGGCGAUACGGGCAGACUUGAGUACUGCAGGGGAGACUGGAAUUCCUGGUGUAGCGGUGAAAUGCGCAGAUAUCAGGAGGAACACCGGUGGCGAAGGCGUGUCUCUGGGCAGUAACUGACGCUGAGGAACGAAAGCGUGGGUAGCGAACAGGAUUAGAUACCCUGGUAGUCCACGCCGUAACGGUGGGCGCUAGGUGUGGGUUCCUUUCCACGGAAUUCCGUGCCGUAGCUUACGCAUUAAGCGCCCCGCCU
rnacentral:rRNA from 1 species